UGAUAAUCUCACAGGGAGUGUCGAGAUUAGGGGGUGUGGCUUUGUUGGAGGAAGUGUGUCACUGUGGCUUUGAGGUUUCCUAAACUCAGGAUACCUCCCAUUGUCUCAGUCGACUUCCUGUGGCCUGCAUAUCAAGAUGUAGCCAGCACCAUGUCUGCCUGCACACCACCAUGCUCCCCACCAUGAUGAUAAUGGACUGAACCUCCAAAACUCAAUUUGACAGCAUGGAGGAGCCCAGAGUGGAUAGGACUGAACAUGUCAUUGAGCACCAGCGGCUUUGAUACCAUGGGGACGGUGGCAUCCAAUAAAGCAGCUGUGGUUGGUGAGAAAGGUGGUACUUGGUGGCACAAGAUAGAGACGUCCUUGGCUGAAACGGAUUCAACCUAGAGGUGCAAACAGCAGAAAAUGGCAUGCCGUGGUUGAUGUGGAAAAAAGGAUGUUGUGGUUUGAAUAAAAAAUGGUCCCCAUAGGCACAUGUCUUUAAAUGCUUACUCACCAGGAAAUGACACUGUUUGAAAAGGACUAGAAGGCAUGUCCUUGUCAGAGGAAGUGUUGUCACUGAAGGAGUGCUUGGAGGUCUUGAAAGUCCCCGCCUGGCCCAGUGUCUCUCUCUCCCUCUGCUGCCUGCGCAUCGGGAUGUCAAGUCUGAUCUACUUCCCCAGUGCCAAGUGUGCCACCAUGCUCCCUGUCAUGUCAAUGCACUACUACUCUGAAUCUGUGAGCAAUACCCUGAUUAAAUGCUUUCUUUUAU
rnacentral:lncRNA from 1 species